GCGCAGCAGUCGCGAAAACUCCGCAAUGCUCGAAAGAGUGACGGGGGGAUUCCAAGUGCCUACGCUUAGCGUAGGCUGUUCAGAUGCCUAAAAAAGCAUCUGGAGUAAGGGCUGGGUAAGACGGGUGCCAUCUGCAGUGGUAAUGAAAAACUUGCUACUGCAAGGCAUAAGCCGCCGCGGUAAUACCCGCAGCCCGAGUGGUAGUUGCUUUUAUUGGGCCUAAAGCGUCCGUAGCCGGUCUGGUAAAUGCCUGGGUAAAUCGUGGGGCCUAACCUCACGAAUUCCGGGUAGACUGCCAGACUUGGGACCGGUUGAGGGAGAGGGUACUCCGAGGGGUAGGGGUGAAAUCCUGUAAUCCUUGGAGGACCACCGGCGGCGAAAGCGCUCUCCUAGGACGGUCCGACGGUGAGGGACGAAAGCCA
rnacentral:rRNA from 1 species